rnacentral:rRNA from 2 species
GACGAACGCUGGCGGCGUGCCUAAUACAUGCAAGUCGAACGAACUCUGGUAUUGAUUGGUGCUUGCAUCAUGAUUUACAUUUGAGUGAGUGGCGAACUGGUGAGUAACACGUGGGAAACCUGCCCAGAAGCGGGGGAUAACACCUGGAAACAGAUGCUAAUACCGCAUAACAACUUGGACCGCAUGGUCCGAGUUUGAAAGAUGGCUUCGGCUAUCACUUUUGGAUGGUCCCGCGGCGUAUUAGCUAGAUGGUGGGGUAACGGCUCACCAUGGCAAUGAUACGUAGCCGACCUGAGAGGGUAAUCGGCCACAUUGGGACUGAGACACGGCCCAAACUCCUACGGGAGGCAGCAGUAGGGAAUCUUCCACAAUGGACGAAAGUCUGAUGGAGCAACGCCGCGUGAGUGAAGAAGGGUUUCGGCUCGUAAAACUCUGUUGUUAAAGAAGAACAUAUCUGAGAGUAACUGUUCAGGUAUUGACGGUAUUUAACCAGAAAGCCACGGCUAACUACGUGCCAGCAGCCGCGGUAAUACGUAGGUGGCAAGCGUUGUCCGGAUUUAUUGGGCGUAAAGCGAGCGCAGGCGGUUUUUUAAGUCUGAUGUGAAAGCCUUCGGCUCAACCGAAGAAGUGCAUCGGAAACUGGGAAACUUGAGUGCAGAAGAGGACAGUGGAACUCCAUGUGUAGCGGUGAAAUGCGUAGAUAUAUGGAAGAACACCAGUGGCGAAGGCGGCUGUCUGGUCUGUAACUGACGCUGAGGCUCGAAAGUAUGGGUAGCAAACAGGAUUAGAUACCCUGGUAGUCCAUACCGUAAACGAUGAAUGCUAAGUGUUGGAGGGUUUCCGCCCUUCAGUGCUGCAGCUAACGCAUUAGGCAUUCCGCCUGGGGAGUACGGCCGCAAGGCUGAAACUCAAAGGAAUUGACGGGGGCCCGCACAAGCGGUGGAGCAUGUGGUUUAAUUCGAAGCUACGCGAAAAACCUUACCAGGUCUUGACAUACUAUGCAAAUCUAAGAGAUUAGACGUUCCCUUCGGGGACAUGGAUACAGGUGGUGCAUGGUUGUCGUCAGCUCGUGUCGUGAGAUGUUGGGUUAAGUCCCGCAACGAGCGCAACCCUUAUUAUCAGUUGCCAGCAUUAAGUUGGGCACUCUGGUGAGACUGCCGGUGACAAACCGGAGGAAGGUGGGGAUGACGUCAAAUCAUCAUGCCCCUUAUGACCUGGGCUACACACGUGCUACAAUGGAUGGUACAACGAGUUGCGAACUCGCGAGAGUAAGCUAAUCUCUUAAAGCCAUUCUCAGUUCGGAUUGUAGGCUGCAACUCGCCUACAUGAAGUCGGAAUCGCUAGUAAUCGCGGAUCAGCAUGCCGCGGUGAAUACGUUCCCGGGCCUUGUACACACCGCCCGUCACACCAUGAGAGUUUGUAACACCCAAAGUCGGUGGGGUAACCUUUUAGGAACCAGCCGCCUAAGGUGGGACAGAUGAUUAGGGUG